GCUUGAUAACUGUGUAAAAAAUUUACACCCAAAUAUUCAUGGGGGUAUUCUGGCUAGAAGAGACCAAAAGCAUCAUAUGGAGGCUCUAAAUGAACAUGGAAUUGGUGCAUUUGAUGUUGUGGUGGUGAACUUGUACCCCUUUUAUGAUACAGUCACUUCGACUAAAGAAAUUUAGUUUGAACAUGGAAUUGAGAAUUUGCCUCUCCAGUUGACUAAAGCAUUAACUGAUGAAUACACUAUGGUCUCUUCUAGCCAAGUUUUCGAGCUUGUCUUUAUCAUUGUAAAUAACUCUGCAAGUAUGUUGAAUAUUUUAACUAAAGUGUGUUAUGUACAUUACCAAUUCCUCACUUUGCUUGCUGGUUCAUCGGUUUAUACUUGAUCAUAAUUUGUGUGUA